rnacentral:rRNA from 1 species
AUGGCUCAGAUUGAACGCUGGCGGCAGGCCUAACACAUGCAAGUCGAACGGUAACAGGAAGCAGCUUGCUGCUUCGCUGACGAGUGGCGGACGGGUGAGUAAUGUCUGGGAAACUGCCUGAUGGAGGGGGAUAACUACUGGAAACGGUGGCUAAUACCGCAUAACGUCGCAAGACCAAAGAGGGGGACCUUCGGGCCUCUUGCCAUCAGAUGUGCCCAGAUGGGAUUAGCUUGUUGGUGAGGUAACGGCUCACCAAGGCGACGAUCCCUAGCUGGUCUGAGAGGAUGACCAGCCACACUGGAACUGAGACACGGUCCAGACUCCUACGGGAGGCAGCAGUGGGGAAUAUUGCACAAUGGGCGCAAGCCUGAUGCAGCCAUGCCGCGUGUAUGAAGAAGGCCUUCGGGUUGUAAAGUACUUUCAGCGGGGAGGAAGGUGUUGUGGUUAAUAACCGCAGCAAUUGACGUUACCCGCAGAAGAAGCACCGGCUAACUCCGUGCCAGCAGCCGCGGUAAUACGGAGGGUGCAAGCGUUAAUCGGAAUUACUGGGCGUAAAGCGCACGCAGGCGGUCUGUCAAGUCGGAUGUGAAAUCCCCGGGCUCAACCUGGGAACUGCAUUCGAAACUGGCAGGCUUGAGUCUUGUAGAGGGGGGUAGAAUUCCAGGUGUAGCGGUGAAAUGCGUAGAGAUCUGGAGGAAUACCGGUGGCGAAGGCGGCCCCCUGGACAAAGACUGACGCUCAGGUGCGAAAGCGUGGGGAGCAAACAGGAUUAGAUACCCUGGUAGUCCACGCCGUAAACGAUGUCUACUUGGAGGUUGUGCCCUUGAGGCGUGGCUUCCGGAGCUAACGCGUUAAGUAGACCGCCUGGGGAGUACGGCCGCAAGGUUAAAACUCAAAUGAAUUGACGGGGGCCCGCACAAGCGGUGGAGCAUGUGGUUUAAUUCGAUGCAACGCGAAGAACCUUACCUGGUCUUGACAUCCACAGAAGAAUCCAGAGAUGGAUUUGUGCCUUCGGGAACUGUGAGACAGGUGCUGCAUGGCUGUCGUCAGCUCGUGUUGUGAAAUGUUGGGUUAAGUCCCGCAACGAGCGCAACCCUUAUCCUUUGUUGCCAGCGAUUAGGUCGGGAACUCAAAGGAGACUGCCAGUGAUAAACUGGAGGAAGGUGGGGAUGACGUUAAGUCAUCAUGGCCCUUACGACCAGGGCUACACACGUGCUACAAUGGCGCAUACAAAGAGAAGCGACCUCGCGAGAGCAAGCGGACCUCAUAAAGUGCGUCGUAGUCCGGAUUGGAGUCUGCAACUCGACUCCAUGAAGUCGGAAUCGCUAGUAAUCGUGGAUCAGAAUGCCACGGUGAAUACGUUCCCGGGCCUUGUACACACCGCCCGUCACACCAUGGGAGUGGGUUGCAAAAGAAGUAGGUAGCUUAACCUUCGGGAGGGCGCUUACCACUUUGUGAUUCAUGACUGGGGUGAAGUCGUAACAAGG